rnacentral:rRNA from 1 species
GAUGAACGCUGGCGGCGUGCCUAAUACAUGCAAGUCGAGCGAACGGACGAGAAGCUUGCUUCUCUGAUGUUAGCGGCGGACGGGUGAGUAACACGUGGAUAACCUACCUAUAAGACUGGGAUAACUUCGGGAAACCGGAGCUAAUACCGGAUGAUAUUUUGAACCGCAUGGUUCAAAAGUGAAAGACGGUCUUGCUGUCACUUAUAGAUGGAUCCGCGCUGCAUUAGCUAGUUGGUAAGGUAAUGGCUUACCAAGGCAACGAUGCAUAGCCGACCUGAGAGGGUGAUCGGCCACACUGGAACUGAGACACGGUCCAGACUCUUACGGGAGGCAGCAGUAGGGAAUCUUCCGCAAUGGGCGAAAGCCUGACGGAGCAACGCCGCGUGAGUGAUGAAGGUCUUCGGAUCGUAAAACUCUGUUAUUAGGGAAGAACAUAUGUGUAAGUAACUGUGCACAUCUUGACGGUACCUAAUCAGAAAGCCACGGCUAACUACGUG